UACGAAGGGGGCUAGCGUUGCUCGGAAUCACUGGGCGUAAAGCGCACGUAGGCGGAUUUCUAAGUUAGGGGUGAAAUCCUGGAGCUCAACUCCAGAACUGCCUUUGAUACUGAGGAUCUUGAGUUCGGGAGAGGUGAGUGGAACUGCGAGUGUAGAGGUGAAAUUCGUAGAUAUUCGCAAGAACACCAGUGGCGAAGGCGGCUCACUGGCCCGAUACUGACGCUGAGGCACGAAAGCGUGGGGAGCAAACAGG
rnacentral:rRNA from 1 species